rnacentral:rRNA from 1 species
UGGGGAAUAUUGCACAAUGGGCGCAAGCCUGAUGCAGCCAUGCCGCGUGUAUGAAGAAGGCCUUCGGGUUGUAAAGUACUUUCAGCGGGGAGGAAGGGAGUAAAGUUAAUACCUUUGCUCAUUGACGUUACCCGCAGAAGAAGCACCGGCUAACUCCGUGCCAGCAGCCGCGGUAAUACGGAGGGUGCAAGCGUUAAUCGGAAUUACUGGGCGUAAAGCGCACGCAGGCGGUUUGUUAAGUCAGAUGUGAAAUCCCCGGGCUCAACCUGGGAACUGCAUCUGAUACUGGCAAGCUUGAGUCUCGUAGAGGGGGGUAGAAUUCCAGGUGUAGCGGUGAAAUGCGUAGAGAUCUGGAGGAAUACCGGUGGCGAAGGCGGCCCCCUGGACAAAGACAGACGCUCAGGUGCGAAAGCGUGGGGAGCAAACAGG